rnacentral:rRNA from 1 species
UACGUAGGGUGCAAGCGUUGUCCGGAAUUAUUGGGCGUAAAGAGCUCGUAGGCGGUCUGUUGCGUCGGCUGUGAAAACCCGGGGCUCAACUCCGGGCCUGCAGCCGAUACGGGCAGACUAGAGUUCGGCAGGGGAGACUGGAAUUCCUGGUGUAGCGGUGAAAUGCGCAGAUAUCAGGAGGAACACCGAUAGCGAAGGCAGCUCGCUGGGACGGUACUGACGCUGAGGUGCGAAAGCGUGGGGAGCGAACAGG